CCUACGGGUGGCUGCAGUGAGGAAUAUUGGUCAAUGGACGCAAGUCUGAACCAGCCAUGCCGCGUGCAGGAAGACGGCCCUAUGAGUUGUAAACUGCUUUUGUACGAGGGUAAACGCAGAUACGCGUAUCUGUCUGCAAGUAUCGUACGAAUAAGGAUCGGCUAACUCCGUGCCAGCAGCCGCGGUAAUACGGAGGAUUCAAGCGUUAUCCGGAUUUAUUGGGUUUAAAGGGUGCGUAGGCGGUCGGAUAAGUUAGAGGUGAAAUCCCGAGGCUCAACUUCGGAAUUGCCUCUGAUACUGUUCGGCUAGAGAGUAGUUGCGGUAGGCGGAAUGUAUGGUGUAGCGGUGAAAUGCUUAGAGAUCAUACAGAACACCGAUUGCGAAGGCAGCUUACCAGGCUGCUUCUGACGUUGAGGCACGAAAGCGUGGGGAGCGAACAGGAUUAGAUACCCUUGUAGUC
rnacentral:rRNA from 1 species